rnacentral:lncRNA from 1 species
UGAUGAUCCUUGAUUAGUUUUGGCACAAUUGGGUAUUUUUUUUUUUUUGAUUAAUUACUUUUCAUAAUUUGACACUUUUUUUGGUACAACUGUGAGUAAUAGUUUAACUGAAAUGCGGAUAUGCUGCAUUUUACUGAUUUUGACAUCGUGUGAAGUUUUGAAAUGUGAAUAGUAUUAUAUACAAAAUUGCAUAUUUUCUUCAGUUUUGAUAUUAUUUUUACUGAAGAUAUAUAUUUAUAGUUGCUUUAAGAAUACUUGUCAGUUUCAGUCCACACAUACUCUACUCACAUUACAUGUUUGAAUUAUUUAAAGCUAGAAAUAAAAUACACGGAAGUGACAUUUGAGUAGUCUAGUGAUUUACUGAAGAAAUAUUAUUGAAUCAAGUGUUUAAUAAAAAGUUACUAUUAUCUGAAUGUACAUAUGGACAUAAAUAGUGAUUAAAUUGGUUAUUUUAGCAAAGUAUGAAAUGAACAUAAUCUCAAAUUUUGCAAAGAUUUCAAAUUUGCUAUUCAGGAAAUUGACAGAAUAACUGUUCUUCCUAUUCUUGAAAAAAAGUUUGGAGAUUCAUACAAACAUCAUAAACAGUUCACGAGCUUUUUGGAAAUAAUGAGUCAUAAUUUUAUUGAAGAGUUUUUUAGGAUUAAUAUUAAUUGUAUUUUAUUUUCAAGCUAUGCGGUAAAAGUUUUUUUAAACUACAAUAAACAGAAAUCAUGUUUUUGCUGUAAUACUUGAGAUUGCGUUUUUGAUGCAACUUCAAUAAAAAGUCGACUCUUAUUCCCUUUUAUGGUUAAAUUUUGUUGGGGUUACAGUUUAAACAUAGGAUAACAAGAUAUUAUACAUGUCAUGUCGCGAUACAAGAUUUCAAGUUAAAAUUUUUUGCUUUGAAAAUUAAUUGUUCGCAAUGAGUUCCUCAGCACACAGUUAAGUUGAAUUUUUAAAUUGUAUCAGUUGGAUAGGAGGGAUGAUGCAUUUCAUUUUACAUAUUGAUAUACUAGGGCCAUUAAAAAUGUUGAAGGUGAAAUGUUCUUUACUGUUCCUGUCAGUCUUUCUAUUUGUUUACAUAUCUUUUUAAACAAACAAAUAAGCAAGAUUUUUUUCAGUAUAUUUUCGUCUAGUCAUAAGUGAUCUUUUUGUGAAUUUUAUCUUUAACUUUGUGUAGCUCUCUUAUAUGGUGAUAUUGUACAAAACAAAUUUAAUGUUAUGUUUUGUAUGAAUGUGAGUUGAAAGUGUUCGACUUCAAUGCUUAUUAAAUCGUUAAAGCUUAAUUAUGUAUUAUUUACAGAAACGUUAUGAAAACAUGUAUUUAUUGUAUUUUUUGUAUGACAUAGGUUAUUAAAAGAAUCAG